rnacentral:rRNA from 1 species
UCUUGGUCAUUUAGAGGAGUAAAGUCGUAACAAGGUCUCCGUAGGUGAACCUGCGGAGGGAUCAUUACAGAGUUCAUGCCCUUACGGGUAGAUCUCCCACCCUGUGUUAUUAUUACCUUUGUUGCUUUGGCGGGCCGUCUAGCUUCGGCCAGACUACCGGCUCCGGCUGGUAAGCGCCCGCCAGAGAACCCCAAACCCUGAAUAUUAGUGUCGUCUGAGUACUAUAUAAUAGUUAAAACUUUCAACAACGGAUCUCUUGGUUCUGGCAUCGAUGAAGAACGCAGCGAAAUGCGAUAAGUAAUGUGAAUUGCAGAAUUCAGUGAAUCAUCGAAUCUUUGAACGCACAUUGCGCCCCUUGGUAUUCCGAGGGGCAUGCCUGUUCGAGCGUCAUUACAACCCUCAAGCAAUGCUUGGUGUUGGGCCUCGCCGGUCACCCGGCGGGCUCUAAAAUCAGUGGCGGUGCCGUCGGGCUCUGAGCGUAGUAAUUCUUCUCGCUAUAGAGUCCCGGUGGAUGCUGGCCAACAACCCCCAAUUUUCUAUGGUUGACCUCGGAUCAGGUAGGGAUACCCGCUGAACUUAAGCAUAUCAAUAAGCGGAGGAAAG